CUGGUUUGCCUCCCAGCUCUGCUAGCCGGGCUUUAGUAGUGCGCUUUCUCGCGGCUGUCAUAAGUACCACGCUGUUGACUGGGACACCGAUCUCCAAUUCUGUCCUUGAGGCAAUAAAGAUGUGGCGAAGGCCCGAGGUGAGGCCACUGCCACUGCACUUAGUCCUGCGACUCCCCUAAGGACGGGCCGAGGAAUGGCGGGCUAGCCACUUCCCAGUCCUGUCCCUACGGGGCAGAAAAAGGCUCGGCAUCCCGGGAUCCGGAGGGUCACUUCCCUCGCUGCAUCCCCAUUGUGCAACUGCCAGUCUAAAAAUUGAUAUAGGUUAAUCUCCUGGAGAAACUAGAGGCAGCCAGGGAGGAUGCUGUUGAACCAGUUAGGAGGCUGUUGCAAGAGAUCCCAGGAAAAGAUAAUGAUAAUGUGGACUUGGAAGAUGGCAGAGGAGUUGCAGAAAAGUAUCCAGAUUUUAAAGAUGUCCAGCUCCAACCUGGUUUCAUAGGCAGUGGUAAUACUGGAACAACCUCUUCUCCAAGAUUCUCAGGCAAUCAAAGGCCAUGGAAGAGCCAGCAUGUGGGGAAACUUCUUUAUUCUGCUAUCCAAAUAUAAAAUAUAUACAGAAGUAGCUCCUUUGUCCCUUAACCUUAGUAAGCAAAUUUGAUUAAGCAUUUGAACGCUAUAGAGGUGCAAGGUGGGAGAAAUUCUGCCUCUGCUACUUGGCAGCUCUAUGAUAUUGGGCAAGCCAUUCAUACCACAUUUAUAUUCCUUAUAUCCAAAAUGGACAUAAUAAUACCUUCUUACUUAUCUCACUGGGUUAUUAGAAUGAUCAUAGUGUUUAGGUGGUUGGUUGUUUCAAGGAGGUAAUAAUGUAUGUGAAAAUAAUUGGUAUAUGGAAAAGCAUUAAAUAAUAGUGCUGAAACAUUAUACAUAUUAACAUGCCUUUAAAUCUGUCUCCCUACCAUUCCAUCAUUUAUUUUGGGGGUCAGUUUUACUGAGAUAUAAUUAAUGUAUUAAUAUAAGUGUACAGCUUAAUGAGUUUUGACAAAUGUAUACAGAUAUAUGACUACUACCACAAUCAUGAUAUAGAAUAUAUCAAUGGCUCCCCAAAUUUCCUCAUGCCCCUUUGCAUUUUUAUACUUUAAAAGUCAAUAUAUACCCAAGAGUGGUUAAAACAUACCUUCCCAAAAACUUGUGCGUAAAUAUUCUUAGUAGCAUUAUGUAUGAUAGCCCCAAAGUGGAAACAACCCAAAUAGCCAUCAACUGAUAAAUGGAUAAAUAAAAUAUAUAUUCAUGCAGUGGAAUAUAAUUCAGCCACGAAAGGAAUGAAGUACCAAUGUCUGCUACAACAUGGAUGAACCUUGAAAACACUAUGUUAAGUAAAAGAAGCCAGUCACAAAAGACCACACAUUGUAUGACUCCAUUUUUAUGAAAGGUCUGGAAUAGGCAAAUCUAUAGAGACAGAAAGUAGUGUUUGCCUCACAUUGGGGGCUAGGGAAUAAUGAUGAAUGACUGCUAAUGGAUGUGGAAUUUCUUUUGGGGGUAAUGAAAAUGUUCUAAAAUUGAUUGUGGUGAUGGUUGCAAAACUCUGUGAAUAUAAUAAAACCAUUGAGUUAAUACCA
rnacentral:lncRNA from 1 species